CGUAGGGUGCAAGCGUUAAUCGGAAUUACUGGGCGUAAAGCGUGCGCAGGCGGUUUUGUAAGUCUGUCGUGAAAGCCCCGGGCUCAACCUGGGAAUUGCGAUGGAGACUGCAAGGCUUGAAUCUGGCAGAGGGGGGUAGAAUUCCACGUGUAGCAGUGAAAUGCGUAGAGAUGUGGAGGAACACCGAUGGCGAAGGCAGCCCCCUGGGUCAAGAUUGACGCUCAUGCACGAAAGCGUGGGGAGCAAACAGGAUUAGAUACCCUGGUAGUCCACGCCCUAAACGAUGUCUACUAGUUGUCGGGUUUUAAUAACUUGGUAACGCAGCUAACGCGUGAAGUAGACCGCCUGGGGAGUACGGUCGCAAGAUUA
rnacentral:rRNA from 1 species